AAAAAGGUACUCAAGGGCACAAAAUGGAUGCCUAGACGUAUAUUACCGAUGAAGGACGUGGUAAACUGCGAUAAGCUUCGGGGAGCUGUUAUCAAGCUUUGAUCCGGAGAUCUCCGAAUGGGGAAACCCAACAUGAGUCAUGUCAUGUUACCUGUAUCUGAAUAAAAUAGGAUAUUUGGCGGGAACCAACUGAACUGAAACAUCUUAGUAGGUUGAGGAAAAGAAAGUAAAUAACGAUGGCGGGAGUAGUGGCGAGCGAAACCGUUAGAGCCCAAACCUUACAUGUUUUCAUCUCUAGGAGGUACGAAAGUAUCGGUAGAUGGAUAUGGCUGAUAGGCUAAUGCAUGUGGGGGGUUGUGAUUUUACACGAGACCAAGUCUUGGUAUACCAGUUUACUGGUAUUUCAAGAUUUGCGAUCAUCGGCUAUCACCGAAUGAAUAAGGUAAGAAAUCACGUUGUUAGCAGAAUAGUUUGAAUGACUAAUCAAAGAGCGUGAAAAUCGCGUAUGCGAAAACAACGUUGACCUUAUACGUGUUUUAUCGAGUAGGGCGGGGCACGAGAAACCCUGUCUGAAUCCGGCUGGACCACCAGCCAAGGCUAAAUAUGAUAUACGAUCGAUAGUGAACUAGUACAGUGAUGGAAAGGUGAAAAGAACCCCGGGAGGGGAGUGAAAUAGAUCCUGAAAUUUUGUGCCUACAAGGAGUCGGAGCCCCUCGGGGUGACGGCGUGCUUUUUGUAGAACGAUCCAGCGAGUUAAUUUCUUAGGCAAGGUUAAGUCAAGUGACGGAGCCACAGUGAAAGCGAGCCUGAAUAGGGCGAUUUAGUCUAAGGGAUUAGACCCGAAACCGGGUGACCUAACCAUGAGCAGGUUGAAGCUUCUGUAACAGGGAGUGAAGGACCGAACCGUAGUCCGCAGCAAAGGGCCCGGAUGACUUGUGGUUAGCGGUGAAAUGCCAAUCGAACUCGGAGAUAGCUGGUUCUCCUCGAAAUAGCUUUAGGGCUAGCGUCAUG
rnacentral:rRNA from 1 species